rnacentral:rRNA from 1 species
CACACCACGGGAGUUGGCAAUGCCCAAAGACCCCGCCUUGAGCGCAAAUAUUUUGCGAGCAGAGCGGGGUCAAAGGCAGGGUCAAUGACUAGGGUG